UACGUAGGGUGCGAGCGUUAAUCGGAAUUACUGGGCGUAAAGCGUGCGCAGGCGGUUCGUUGUGUCGGUGGUGAAAUCCCCGGGCUUAACCUGGGAAUGGCCAUGGAAACUGGUGAACUGGAGUGCGGCAGAGGGGGGUGGAAUUCCGCGUGUAGCAGUGAAAUGCGUAGAGAUGCGGAGGAACACCGAUGGCGAAGGCAGCCCCCUGGGCUAGCACUGACGCUCAGGCACGAAAGCGUGGGGAGCAAACAGG
rnacentral:rRNA from 1 species